rnacentral:rRNA from 1 species
GAUGAACGCUAGCUACAGGCUUAACACAUGCAAGUCGAGGGGCAGCAUGGUCUUAGCUUGCUAAGGCCGAUGGCGACCGGCGCACGGGUGAGUAACGCGUAUCCAACCUUCCCCUAGUAGGGGAUAGCCCGGCGAAAGUCGGAUUAAUGCCCUAUGUUCUCCUUUGCGGGCAUCUAAUGAGGAGUAAAGAUUUAUCGCUGUGGGAUGGGGAUGCGUCUGAUUAGCUUGUCGGCGGGGUAACGGCCCACCGAGGCGACGAUCAGUAGGGGUUCUGAGAGGAAGGUCCCCCACAUUGGUACUGAGACACGGACCAAACUCC